GUCCAAUACUGGGGUUUUACCCCUCCCGGUGGUUGUGAAGUGGUAUCUCACAGUGUGGUUUUGAUUUCCAUUUCUAAGAUGACGAAUUCUGCUAAACAUCUCCUGUGCUUUUUAAGGCAUUUAUAUGUCUUUCUUUGGAGAAUGUCUAUUCAAGUCCUUUGUCCAUUUUUAAAUUGGAUUUUUAUUAAGAGUUUUUAAAUAUAUUCUUGAUAUCACGUCCUUAUCAUGAUAAUGUAUCCUGUUCUGUGGGUUGUCUUUUUACUUUAAUAGUAUCCUCUGAAAUGAACAUUUUAAAUUUUGAUACCGUCUUUUUCCCUUCAGUUGCUUGUUAUAGGUCUAGACGUCUCAGCUAAGGAAACAUUGCCUAAUCCAACGUAACAGUUUCUCCAGGAUUCUCCCCUAAAAGUGUCAUGGGCUGAACUGUCCCCCCUCUCAAGAUUCCCAUGUUAAAGUCACAACCCCAGAACUUAAAAGGUCACCGUAUUUACAUACAGGGCCUUAGCUUGGCAAUUUAGGUCCCAUAAGAUCUUAAGAGUAGGCCCUGAUCCAGUAUGACGGUGUUCUUUUAAGAGAAUUUAGACACAGUCCUCAGUGCUGCACGCACAUAAGAGAAACCUGUGAGGACACAGAGAAGACGCCGUCUACACAGCAUGGGGUGAGGCCCCAGAGAAUCCAACCCUGCCCGCACCUUGAUCCCAGGCUUCCAGUCUCCAGGAAAAAGGAAACAAGAUGCUGUUGUUUAAGCCUCACGGUCUGUGGUGUCCGUUAUGGUACCCAGCAGACUGACAGAAUGGGUCUCACAGUCGGCUCCUUAUGCUGGAUCCAUGUCGAGCUUUGCAUGUAGGGUGAGGAAGGGUCCAGUCCAUCCUUUUCCGUGUGGAUACCCCAGUUGUCCCAGCACCAUUGAGUUGUGAAAGGAAAAAAGUAAAGCAACCCUUACUGUCCUUUCUCCAUCAACAGAUUAGAAGAUACACUGAAGAAUCGUGGACAAUUUUGUCGGUUUAAGGCAGUGGUUUUCAAAUUUUUGGGUCUCAGGAACCCUUUGCACUUUAUUCAAGAUCACAAAAAAGCUUUCUCAUCAGGCCGGGAGUGGUGGCUGCUCAUGCCUGUAAUCCCAGCACUUUGGGAGGCAGAGGCAGGUGGAUCACUUGAGGUCAGGAGUUCGAGACCGGGCUGGCCAACAUGGUGAAACCCGUCUCUACUAAAAUACAAAAAUUAGCCUGGCAUGGUGCCGAACACCUGUAGUACCAGCUACUAGGGAGGCUGAGGCAAGAGAAUGACUUGAUCUCAGGAGGCAGAGGUUGAAGUGAGCUGAAGUCACACCACUGCACUCCAGCCUGGGUGGCAGAGCAAGACUGUCUCAAAAAGAAAAAAAAAAAGGUAACCAUUUAGUUUAUUUUACAAUGAUAAAGUCAUUAUAUCUUAACACAGUCUUAAAGAAGAAAACAUUUUCCAAAAUAAGCAGCAGCGUGGCAACAGUUUGUGCUCCUGUGAAAACACCUAACAUCUCUGCACCUCAGACAGCAGGGUUCUCAUGCCUGCAUCUGCGUUCAGUGGGCUGCAGAGCCGUGGCUGAAGUUUAUGAAGAAAGUCCGACCCCAUGCUGAUAUACAAGUAGGAAGCAGUAUUUUCAUUGUAUUUUCAGAUCACUUUAGGAAUUCUCUGCUGCCAAAUGUAACAAGUGGCACUUCCGUACAGGCUGUCUGCAAUGCAGAGUCUGCGCUCUGGUCGACGGAUCUUUCUGCCCCAAUUCCUUCUAAAUCGACUGGUCCGUCCUGUAAUUGAAUGGCUUUUACCAGCACACGAUUUUGUAAUCACACAUUGGUUAGAAAACACUGGUUCAGAGUUAUGAGCAGCUUCCACAUUUCGUUAUAUGAAAAGAAAAAAAAAAAAA
rnacentral:lncRNA from 1 species